rnacentral:rRNA from 1 species
AUAUAAACCUUAUACCAUUAGAUGAACCCAGAUGAGAUUAGCUAGUAGGUAAGGUAAAAGCUUACCUAGGCUACGAUCUCUAGCUGGUCUGAGAGGAUGACCAGCCACACUGGAACUGAGACACGGUCCAGACUCCUACGGGAGGCAGCAGUGGGGAAUAUUGCACAAUGGGGGAAACCCUGAUGCAGCUAUGCCGCGUGUGUGAAGAAGGCCUUUGGGUUGUAAAGCACUUUCAGUAGGAAAGAAGUAUAUAUUACUAAUAAUGAUAUAUAUUGACGUUACCUAAAAAAGAAGCACCGGCUAACUCCGUGCCAGCAGCCGCGGUAAUACGGAGGGUGCGAGCGUUAAUCGAAAUUACUGGGCGUAAAGAGUACGUAGGUGGUUUAUUAAGUCAGAUGUGAAAUCCCUGGGCUUAACCUAGGAACUGCAUUUGAAACUGAUAAACUAGAGUUUCGUAGAGGGGGGUAGAAUUCCAAGUGUAGCGGUGAAAUGCGUAGAUAUUUGGAGGAAUACCAGUGGCGAAGGCGACCCCCUGGAUGAAGACUGACACUGAGGUACGAAAGCGUGGGGAGCAAACAGGAUUAGAUACCCUGGUAGUCCAUGCUGUAAACGAUGUCGAUUUGAAGGUGGUGGCCUUAGAGCUAUUACUUUCGUAGCUAACGCGUUAAAUCGACCGCCU